rnacentral:rRNA from 1 species
UACGUAGGUGACCAGCGUUGUCCGGAUUUACUGGGCGUAAAGAGCGCGCAGGCGGUCGUUCAAGUCGAGUGUGAAAGCCCCGGCUCAACUGGGGAGGGUCACUCGAUACUGAUCGACUUGAAGGCAGGAGAGGGAAGCGGAAUUCCCGGUGUAGUGGUGAAAUGCGCAGAUAUCGGGAGGAACACCAAUGGCGAAGGCAGCUCGCUGGGACGGUACUGA